UUAGGCAGAGGCGGCUGCACACUCCAUGAGGUUUGCUGCCGAGCACUAAUGGGGGAAGAUCGUCCAUCUCUGCACUGUUCACCUCUGCCCAUUUUCUCCUGAGAAGCUUCGCCACUAUAAAAUGUAUAAUUCCACCCCCACCCCCCCCGAACGUCGCUUGGAUUUAACUCCAUCUCCUCGUCUUUUAGAUGUGUCUUAAUCUGGGCUUGCGCCGUCCUUCCCUCCGCUGAACAGGAGGAGUGAAAAUCGCAGUUUACCCGCUGCGAGCCGCACGCACAAGGGCUGGAUUGUGGGCCGGAUGGAGAUUAAGGGGAAAAGUGCAGGAAAAAAAGCAGCAGAGCAACGAGAGACGCUUCUAUACUUCGAAAUGCAAAAGAAAGCAACCGUGGGCUGUGUUCAAGAGCCGGCCUGGGACUGAUGGCACCCAAACCC